rnacentral:rRNA from 1 species
UAAACGCUGGCGGCGUGCAUAACACAUCAAGUCGAACGGAGUUGCCAAGUAGCAAUAUGAAGCAACUUAGUGGCGGACGGGUGAGUAACGCAUGAGCAACCUGCCCUUGUGAGCGGAAUAACGUCGGGAAACCGACGCUAAUACGGCAUAACGCACAGAUACCGCAUGGUGACUGUGUCAAAGAUUUUUAUCGCACAAGGAUGGGCUCGUGUCCGAUUAGUCAGUUGGUGAGGUAACGGCUCACCAAAACCGCGAUCGGUAGCCGGACUGAGAGGUUGAACGGCCACAUUGGAACUGAGAAACGGUCCAGACUCCUACGGGAGGCAGCAGUGGGGAAUAUUGGGCAAUGGGCGAAAGCCUGACCCAAGCGACGCCGCGUGAGGGAAGAAGGUCUUCGGAUUGUAAACCUCUGUUGACAGGGACGAAAGCGGGGCAACCCGCGUGACGGUACUUGUCGAGGAAGCCACGACUAACUACGUGCCAGCAGCGGC